AUUGAACGCUGGCGGCAUGCUUUACACAUGCAAGUCGAACGGUAACAGGGUGCUUGCACCGCUGACGAGUGGCGAACGGGUGAGUAAUGCGUCGGAACGCACCGAGUAAUGGGGGAUAUCGCAGCGAAAGCUGUGCUAAUACCGCAUACGAUCUGAGGAGGAAAGCGGGGGACCUUCGGGCCUCGCGUUAUUCGAGCGGCCGACGUCUGAUUAGCUAGUAGGUGGGGUAAGAGUUCACCUAGGCGACGAUCAGUAGCGGGUCUGAGAGGAUGAUCCGCCACACUGGGACUGAGACACGGCCCAGACGCCUACGGGAGGCAGCAGUGGGGAAUUUUGGACAAUGGGCGCAAGCCUGAUCCAGCCAUGCCGCGUGUCUGAAGAAGGCCUUCGGGUUGUAAAGGACUUUUGUCAGGGAGGAAAUCCUUAGCGCUAAUACCGUUGAGGGAUGACAGUACCUGAAGAAUAAGCACCGGCUAACUACGUGCCAGCCGCCGCGGUAA
rnacentral:rRNA from 1 species